AUCCAGCUGAAGAGUCUCAAAUAGGACGAAAUAGGUGUCUUGGAC
rfam:Schistosoma haematobium scaffold550_16, whole genome shotgun sequence.